AACGAACGCUGGCGGCAUGCCUAACACAUGCCAGUCGAACGAAGGCUUCGGCCUUAGUGGCGCACGGGUGCGUAACGCGUGGGAAUCUGCCCUUUGCUUCGGAAUAACAGUUAGAAAUGACUGCUAAUACCGGAUGAUGUCGCAAGACCAAAGAUUUAUCGGCAAAGGAUGAGCCCGCGUAGGAUUAGCUAGUUGGUGGGGUAAAGGCCUACCAAGGCGACGAUCCUUAGCUGGUCUGAGAGGAUGAUCAGCCACACUGGGACUGAGACACGGCCCAGACCCCUACGGGAGGAAGCAGGGGGGAAAAUUGGACAAGGGGCGAAAGCCUGAUCCAGCAAUGCCGGGUGAGUGAUGAAGGCCUUAGGGUUGUAAAGCUCUUUUACCCGGGAUGAUAAGGACAGUACCGGGAGAAUAAGCCCCGGCUAACUCCGG
rnacentral:rRNA from 1 species